ACUACACUGUAUUUGGAUCCCUGCCUACCAAGCUCUGAAGUGUGGAGCCUGCUCCUGUACCCUGCUGGGGGAAUUCUCUGGCCCAAGUCUCCUUUCUACACCUCUAAGAAGGCAUUUCUUCUUCAUGGUGACUCCAGAAAAUCACGUAGAUCUUAUCAGUUCUAAUUGGGACCUGAAGACUUGGCCACAGCACCCAGGCUUGGCAGAGGAGAUCUGAGACUACGAUACCAAUUCAACUUAUCAAGUUACAGAAGCAACCACAAAAUAACAAAAAAGGAGUUUCUUACCCACGGUCACCAAAAGGAGACUGAGAGAGAGAAGCAGGAAGCCUUUCAUGGUAGCUGCUCUUGCUUGAUAAUCCAAGGAGGAAAUGUGUCCUCUCCUUCGCUGCCUGGAGUUUUAACUGUCUUUCAAGUCCGAAGUCCACUCAUUAACUGAUAGAGGCAAAGGCAAUUCGUGGUCAGGAUCUGGUCUCUGGUCGUACAGCAUGGGCUGCUUCCAACCUCAGAGUCAGGUCACUUGAGCCCAGCUUCAGGUUGAUAUCCUUGACUCAAAGUCCAGGACAACUGUAGAAGUCUGAGUUCUCUUUAGAAAUCCUUGCAAGGUCAAAGGUGAGUGUAUUCAGCUAAUCUCUCUAUAUCUUGGGAAUGGUAGACCUAUCGCCUCCCCAGAGCCUACUACUGUCUCUCUAAACACUCAGUAAUCUAGCCGAGAACGAUGAUUGCCUUACCUCUGACCCCUUCUUAUUUUGUGUGUGCACACCACAGUGCUCAUGUAGCUGCCAGAGGAUGGUGGGAAGGGUUGAUUCUUGACCCUUCACCAUGUGGGAUCAUGGGAUGGAAUUCAGGUCAUCAGGCUUAGUGGCAGAUGCCUUUAACUCUGAGUCAUCUUCUGGGCCCUCCCCUCCCCAACUCCCCACCAUUUGACUGCAAAGAAUUCUAUUUUCUCUACCUGCUGUUCCAAGAAUACCUGAAAAGUCCUUUCAUGUUUUCUCCAACUAUUUAUGACUUGACUUGUGUCAUCUUUUGCUGUGGACUCCCACACUGGGCUUUUCCUAAUGGUCACUUCUAGAAACUUCUAGAGCUAACGUUUCCAAGCUUCCCUCCAUCUCACAUAUCACUUUAACUGGACAUAGACCCCAGUUGUCAUGCUCCUAUUAGAAGCAGGCUUGAAGGUUAUUGACGGUAGGCUCCCUUUCCCAUAACCACCUUGGCCCACCGUCUGUCGUGGGUCCAAUUUUAACAGAGGCCAAUUUGAAAUUCCACAAGCAAAGAGAAAACUUGGGAAGCAGAAGAGACAGACAGAUCUCUGUGAGUUCAAGGCCAGCCUACUCUACAGAGAGAGUUCCAGGCCGGCCAGGGUUGCCUAGUUAAGACUGUCUUUAAAAAACAAAACAAAACAAUAAAAUCAAACAAACAGCAACAGAACAAUCA
rnacentral:lncRNA from 1 species